rnacentral:rRNA from 1 species
GUUUAUCAAAAACAUGUCUUUUUGAAUUUAAUUUAAAGUCUAACUGCCCACUGAAAUUUUAAAUGGCCGCAGUAUUUUAACUGUGCAAAGGUAGCAUAAUCAUUAGUCUUUUAAUUGAAGGCUGGAAUGAAUGGUUGAAUGAAAUAUUAACUGUUUCAUAUAAAUUAAAAAUAGAAUUUUAUUUUUUAGUUAAAAAGCUAAAAUUUUUUUAAAAGACGAGAAGACCCUAUAAAUCCUUAUAUUUAAGUUUAUAAUUUUUAUAUAGAUAAUUUAAAAUUUAUAUAAUUAAAUAUUUUAUUGGGGUGAUAUUAAAAUUUACAUAACUUUUAAUUUUAAAUGAACAUAAAUUAUUGAAUUAUUGAUCCAUAAAUUAUGAUUAAAAAAUUAAGUUACUUUAGGGAUAACAGCGUAAUUUUUUUAGAGAGUUCAUAUUAAUAAAAAAGUUUGCGACCUCGAUGUUGGAUUAAGAUAAAAUUUAGGUGAAGAA